AAGACAUGCACCUGGGGAUAGGUUGAUUGGCAACACUAAAUUGGCCCUAGUGUGUGAAUGUGAUUGUGAAUGUUGUCUGUCUAUCUGUGUUGGCCCUGCGAUGAGGUGGUGACUUGUCCAGGGUGUACCCCGCCUUCCGCCCGACUGUAGCUGAGAUAGGCGCCAGCGCCCCCCGCGACCCCAAAAGGGAAUAAGCGGUAGAAAAUGGAUGGGAUGGAUGGAUGUAAUAAAUAAUAGAGCGACAUCGCCCACUUGUAGUUCUGUGCCGUCACAACUCCUCCUCCAACCAUAACACGGACUCUAGGAAGUAGAAUCAGGAGACGACGUCACAACCUUUCGAACUUUUCAAGCCAACUUUACAAACCAACUUUACAAGCCUUCUGUUGAUGUCCCUGUUUUCUUUCCGUUGUUUUGGAUUCGAGCUGUGUGUCUCGGAACACCUUGGAACCCACCUCUGGAUCUCGACUGCCUCCUUUGAUCCUCGACCACCGCUCUGGACACGGACCUCUUGACGCCUCUCUCUGCCCCACGGGCCUUGCUUGGAUCACGGAGCCCUUUAGCCUAUAUCCCCUUUGGAUUCGUCUGCUUCCUCAUUUAUGUUCUGUGCCGUCACAACUCCUCCUCCAACCAUAACACGGACUCUAGGAAAAAGAAUCAGGAGACGACGUCACAACCUUUCGAACUUUACAAGCCAACUUUACAAACCAACUUUACAAGCCUUCUGUUGAUGUCCC